AUUGAACGCUGGCGGCAUGCCUAACACAUGCAAGUCGAGCGAGCGGCGGACGGGUGAGUAAUGUAUGGGGACUGCCCGAUAGAGGGGGAUAACUACUGGAAACGCUAGCUACUCCCGCAUACUAUCGGAUAACCCAUAUGGGAUUAGCUGGUAGGUGAGGUAAUGGCUCACCUAGGCGACGAUCCCUAGCUGGUCUGAGAGGCUGAUCAGCCACACUGGGACUGAGACACGGCCCAGACGCCUACGGAGGCAGCAGUGGGGAAUAUUGGACAAUGGGCGCAAGCCUGAUGCAGCCAUGCCGCGUGUAGGAAGAAGGCCGUAGGGUUGUAAAGUACUUUCGGUAGGGAGGCGUUACCGACAGAAGAAGCACCGGCUAACUACGUGCCAGCAGCCGCGGUAAUUC
rnacentral:rRNA from 1 species